GCCGGCAGCGGUUCCCUCCAGCCUCUGCCCUGCCCCGCCGCAGCCACUGCGCCGAGCUGAAAGCGCCCCACCUGCCCCGGGACCACGCGUCGCUGCCCUCCGACCUGCAGCUCCGCAACCUGGCGCCAAGCCCGCGGGCCGAAGCCGCGCAGGGACAGGCGCAGGACACUGUGCUGCUGGAGCCGGACAGCAACCUGGUCCUGACCAGCCUGGGUCUCGUCCGGUUGCCGAUGGCCGGGCACCUCUACAAGGUUUCCAGCAUGAGCAGCGACGAGAUCUGGCUGUGAGCCCGUGGUGCGACACCAGGGCAUCCAGAUUCGUCCUGUCCUGGCACGAUGCUGCAGGUCACUCGGGACCGGUUCCCAGAUCCGGGGAGGUGGGACGGGCGGGUGGCAACACCAGAGCCUCCUACAGCACCAGGUUUCCCCUACCCUCUGACCCGGGGUCCUGAGUCCCUGCACCUCGCAUGGACGAGUCUGCUGGGCUCAGCU